rnacentral:lncRNA from 1 species
CAAUGAAGCUCUUCUUUUCAAGGUUCAGAGACUACAAUGCUGCAAUAGUAGCAUUUAUCUUAUUAGUAAUUCACUCUUAAUACUUUACAUGCACACGUAACAAGGGACUACAAUGCUGCAAUAUUAGCAUUUAUGUUAUUGGUAAUUCACUCUUAAUACUUUACAUGCACACGUAACAAAGUUAAAUACAUCGAAACAUCCCGUUAUGAACAGGUAGAAGUUACAGUUGACUUCGUCUUAAAGCAUCCAGCGAUUAUUGUGGCUUCAGUUUGAGAGAUGCGCUGCAACCAAAAAUGAAAAAAGUGAGCACAAAAGCUUACAAUCCGACCUGUGUCAAAAUCCCUACGGUAGCCAAUAUUUUGCCCAACUUAUCACACCCAUGGC